rnacentral:rRNA from 1 species
UAGAGUUUGAUCCUGGCUCAGAUUGAACGCUGGCGGCAGGCUUAACACAUGCAAGUCGAACGGUAACAGGAAGCAGCUUGCUGCUUUGCUGACGAGUGGCGGACGGGUGAGUAAUGUCUGGGAAACUGCCUGAUGGAGGGGGAUAACUACUGGAAACGGUAGCUAAUACCGCAUAACGUCGCAAGACCAAAGUGGGGGACCUUCGGGCCUCAUGCCAUCAGAUGUGCCCAGAUGGGAUUAGCUAGUAGGUGGGGUAAUGGCUCACCUAGGCGACGAUCCCUAGCUGGUCUGAGAGGAUGACCAGCCACACUGGAACUGAGACACGGUCCAGACUCCUACGGGAGGCAGCAGUGGGGAAUAUUGCACAAUGGGCGCAAGCCUGAUGCAGCCAUGCCGCGUGUAUGAAGAAGGCCUUCGGGUUGUAAAGUACUUUCAGCGAGGAGGAAGGCAUUAAGGUUAAUAACCUUAGUGAUUGACGUUACUCGCAGAAGAAGCGCCGGCUAACUCCGUGCCAGCAGCCGCGGUAAUACGGAGGGUGCAAGCGUUAAUCGGAAUUACUGGGGCGUAAAGCGCACGCAGGCGGUCUGUUAAGUCAGAUGUGAAAUCCCUGGGCUCAACCUGGGAACUGCAUUUGAAACUGGCACGCUUGAGUCUCGUAGAGGGGGGUAGAAUUCCAGGUGUAGCGGUGAAAUGCGUAGAGAUCUGGAGGAAUACCGGUGG